rnacentral:rRNA from 1 species
UACGGAGGGAGCUAGCGUUGUUCGGAAUUACUGGGCGUAAAGCGCGCGUAGGCGGCUUUGUAAGUUAGAGGUGAAAGCCCGGAGCUCAACUCCGGAACUGCCUUUAAAACUGCAUCGCUUGAAUCCAGGAGAGGUGAGUGGAAUUCCGAGUGUAGAGGUGAAAUUCGUAGAUAUUCGGAAGAACACCAGUGGCGAAGGCGGCUCACUGGACCGGCAUUGACGCUGAGGUGCGAAAAGCGUGGGGGAGCAAACAGG